CUCUUCGACACUUUGAAAACU
rnacentral:piRNA from 1 species